GUUGCAAGAAAGUGAAUAUUUAUAGCAUAUACGGAAGGGCUGAAAGUUGAGUCUAAUUUGGAAGGGACUUUUAUAUUCGGCAAGUAUAUUAAGGAUCUGUUCAUAUAUUUUGUGGAGGAACAUUAUCUCCUUCUUUAUACACGGCUGCAAUGUGAAAUCAUUUCGCGGAAGGAUCAUCAAUGUUGUUUAAUCGAUCUCAUUACUCCUGUGGUGUUUGCAUAGUUCGUCUCCUUUGCUUUGUGCUGGAUUGAAGUUUUCUUCAAAGUGAAAUAAAGUGGAAGAAGAUUAUUUCUUGACACAUAAAGCUAAAGGGGCAACGAAGAGAACUUGGUUACGAUUAACCUAUAACAGGUACAGAUAGUCGUUUUGGUGACCCUUCAGCAUAGGACUCCUACUCAGCUGUCUUGGAGAGCUCCGUUGUUCCGGAGUUUAGACUUUUGGUACAGAUCUUAUGAUAUAUAUAUAUAUGUUUAUCCAGGGGUACGACGGGGCCCUGUCCCGUCAUAUUUCACUGUUAGUACUCUUAGAGGUCUGUAGACAUAUGUGUGGGUUGUGUAUAAGUUCUGUUCCGCUGUGUCUAUACGAUGUGCUAUGAUAUGAUGUCCGUUUGUAGUGGCAGCCUUGUCGGCUUGCGUAUCAUUUUAUGAUUUGAUCAGUUGUGACUCCUCAGGAGACAGUUUAUUUGAAUAUACAUAUAUGAUGACGUUA